rnacentral:rRNA from 1 species
AGCUACAGCUUAAAACCCAAAGGACUUGGCGGUGCCCCAAACCCACCUAGAGGAGCCUGUUCUAUAAUCGAUAACCCCCGCUAAACCUCACCACUUAUUGCCAAUACCGCCUAUAUACCACCGUCGCCAGCCCACCCUGUGAAGGAUAUAAGUAGGCGCAAUGAUCAUCACCAAAACGUCAGGUCAAGGUGUAGCGUAUGAAGUGGGAAGAAAUGGGCUACAUUUUCUUACCCAAGAACAUACGAAAGAUAUUAUGAAAUACAAUCAGAAGGCGGAUUUAGUAGUAAAAGGAAC